UACAGAGGUCUCAAGCGUUGUUCGGAUUCAUUGGGCGUAAAGAGCUCGUAGGCGGUCUGUCGCGUCUGCUGUGAAAACUCGAGGCUUAACCCCGGGCCUGCAGUGGGUACGGGCAGACUAGAGUGCGGUAGGGGAGACUGGAAUUCCUGGUGUAGCGGUGAAAUGCGCAGAUAUCAGGAGGAACACCGGUGGCGAAGGCGGGUCUCUGGGCCGUAACUGACGCUGAGGAGCGAAAGCAUGGGGAGCGAACAGG
rnacentral:rRNA from 1 species